rnacentral:rRNA from 1 species
GGACUACCGGGGUUUCUAAUCCCGUUUGCUCCCCUGGCCUUCGUGCCUCAGUGUCAGGAACUGUCCAGAGACCCGCCUUCGCCACUGGUCUUCCUCAUGAUCUCUACGCAUUUCACUGCUACACCAUGAAUUCCAGUCUCCUCUCCAGUCCUCAAGCACCGCAGUAUCGAAUGCAGUUCCGAGGUUAAGCCUCAGGAUUUCACACCCGACUUACAGCGCCACCUACGCACCCUUUACGCCCAAUGAAUCCGAACAACGCUCGAGACCUCUGUAUUACCGCGGCGGCUGGCAC